ACGCAGUGCAGGGGUCGCCGCUGCCCGGGCCGGGAGGUGAGGCGGCUUUUUCCAGGAUUGAUGGUUGUUGCAGAAAUAGGGCUAUCUCGCGUUCACCUCCCUCUUCUCUUCUCAGGGAGAGCUCUGCUUUACAAGAAGAAACAGCAAAAUACAGAGUUCUUGGUACCUGAGCCUAUUGCACCUGCUGGUUUCUCUUGGAGGCAUGAAGUAUAUUGAUGCUGACAGUGAAAAAAAAAAAAUUGACCUGUCUAGCUGUUUUCCCUCCUUCUUUGCACUUUAAUUCUCUUGUUAGAACUAACGGCUGCCUAAUACGUUCAAUGUGCCGGCUCGUAAGACCCAGUGGAAGCACUAGCGUUCCUAAUGUACCAUAGAAGUGGAAAAUGUACAUUUUUCCUGCAUGGUAAGGGCCAUCUCUGUACAUAACUAUCUAGUGAGAUACCAAGUAAGUAAAAGAAACUAUUUAUAAUAUUUGAAGACCAUUCCAAAAAAUAUUUUCAAUAGCUCAUAUUAGCCAACAGUGUAGCACUAAACCCCAGGAGGGUUACUAAUGAAUGCUUUCUUUUUUUCUUUUUUUUCUUUCUUUUUUUUUUUUAAAGUUGCUUGUUUGUUCUCUUUAGUUUCAAAUAAGAGGUUGAUGCAUCUUGAUGCAUGAUAAGAAGCAUGGGUUGUCUGGAUCCUAACUGCAUAACGUGCAAUUUAUUUCACAGUGUUCACAAACUGAGGGUUUGAACUAAUACAUGUCAACUGCAAGACCUCAAGGUCUUGCAGAAGAAAAGGAAAAUAAAGGUUAACUUUCUUGGCUCAAAAACACAGUCUUGGAAGGUGGACUAAGCCCAGGAAAAAUCAGUGACAGCACCACACACAUCGUAGUUUCAGGCAAAACAAACAUGUGGGAAGGUCCAUGCGCUCUGCUUUGAAGCCCCCCAAAGUUUCCCAGGGGCGAAGAGGUCAUUCUGUGUGCACUUUCCCGGGAAGUUUGGACCAUUAUUUCUCUGACCCAAAUGUUCCAGGGGCACUGCAGCCAUUCUUACUAAAGAAAAAUGAGAGACCGAGGAAUUUCCAAAUGCUCCUCCCCUUUCUCGGAGAGCCCAGGUUUCCUCAACCCAGUGACAAAGGUUUCUGGGGUUUUCCUGUAGAAUGUUGUAAGCGCCCCCAGUGGUCAGCUAUAGGAACCAUCAAUUGCUAUGAUGACCUUUAGUGUUUUAUUGAAUUACACGCCCCUCCUGCUUACUAGAGUCCGAAACCUUGCUGGAACUGCAAGAGAGAGAACUCUACCUCCAGGGGUGCUCCUUUUGAUGACCUGCACCAUUUCUGUACCAUCUGGGAUAAGAAUGUGCAUUCUAAAAAACCUCAGUUUGGUCACAUUUAAAAUCGCCAAGAGCAACUUGUAGUGCUUUUGAUUGUUAAGGCACCCAUCCUCUUCUGCCUUUCAAGUGUGUAUUUAGUGUUGCACUGUGCACUCCCAGCUGUGUCUGCCUAUAUUCCAUUAUAUGAGACCCACUUCUAAGACUCAAAGGCAGGUCAGCCCCCAACAACCAAAUAGCAAAUUCUUAUAUUAUUGCAAAAUUAACCUAGAAAAUCAGAAGUAAAAAAGCCAAUUUCAUGCUUUCAGCUGAAUACCCACAUUUUGUACUGUCAAUGAAAUUACCUUGGAACUUUUAGGGGAUGCCUUUUGUUAUUAGCUAAGACAUCCAGUUUUGCUGCAGGGACAAAUCUCUUACUUAAGCCAAUAUAUUAUGUGACAGAUUUAGGCAUGAAGUAGAAUGUUGUCACUUUUCCUUAGCAUUUCUCUGAAGGAAUCUAAAGAGAGAAUUUUAAACUACUGUUGCAAUAUUUGCCAGUGGCUCUCACACAAAGCCCCCAGCACUGUUUGUUAGAUUUUUUUUUUUUUUUAAUCUUAAAGCACUGCUUAAAAACAAAUGAAACUCCUAGAACCUGGAUAACUUGGAAGAGAAUCCAUUCUGGAGUAUAUGAUGACAGACUAGCACCUCUUCUCUCACCAUAUUAUAAAACAUAUAGCCUUGGGUUGGCAAUGAUUGGGCCACUUUUUAAAUUCUCAACUAAAAAAAUAAUGUGAUAGAGGGCUUAUUCUCCCCCACCCCAUUAACUUUUAUUUUAAAAUAAAGGAUUUUAUUUAGCUUUUCUUUUAAAGUUCGAUUUUAUUCCCCCUGACAAAAAACUUUCUCUUUGCUUUAAAGACUUUUAAAAUCCAACCUGUGAAGUUUAUCAUUUUUUUUACUACUCUUGAAAUGGGAUAUACUAUAUAUGGGAUAUAUAUUACAUGGUGGAAUAAAUUAUAUGUUAUUUAUGGCUAGAGAAUAAAGCCAGGCUAAUGUCCACAGCCAGAAGGAAUAAAUGAACUCAAUUCACUUUCAUUUCAGCAAGAGAGCAGAUUGUAAGUUUAGAUAGUGACUUGAUUACAACGCCACUAUGUGAAUCCUGGUAAUAAGACUUGAGUCAAUGAAAUCUAAUCACAGUGUCAUUUUUCCAUGGCUGUGGGUGACUUAAAAUUAAGGCAGGGCAGAGAAAGAGUAGAAAACAACCAUUUUGUUAUAGGUAUAAACACAUGGAUGAUGAUUGAGAUAAUUAUUCAUUUUGGCUGCCACACAGCCUAAAAUUAACAUUAGGGUUGAUUGUACUUGAUCUCAUCUGCCCAAGAAAAAGAAGAGAUCUACUUGAUGUUGAGCUACUGUCUUUUGCACAGCCCAUGUCGUUUUUCCCUAGAAAAGCAGUUGUGAAAGAGCUGGCCGAGGUGCCCUAGCUCUGAGUCCAAGACCCAGAUGUCCACCUGCAAGCUGGGAAACCUUAGGCCAGUGCUAAAACCUCCUUGAGCCCAUUUCCUCAUCUGCAAAACGGAACUAAUCUUGAUUCCUGUGCUGCCUACCUCACAGGGCUGUCAUCAGGACAACAUGGGUUAGAGUGUAAACUGUAAUGUGCUGUCCAAAUGUGAGGUAACAUGAUUACCAUCCUCAGCUCUCUUUGGCAGAGAAUUAUUUAAAUGUAUUUCUUUGUUAUUUGUGUGUGUGUGACGGACAGACCCGUGUGUUACCUUGAGGAGCAUAAUAUUUGUGUCCAGUAACUGCAAAUCUGCUGACAUUUGUGAUUCUGACAGAGGGGUUUGUGCCGUGGCCUAACACUUGCCAGGUGGGGUGUGGGUUAUACCUAUAUGCAAAUUAAAUUUUGCCUUUCUUGAUUCU
rnacentral:lncRNA from 1 species